rnacentral:rRNA from 1 species
GACGAACGCUGGCGGCAGGCCUAACACAUGCAAGUCGAACGAGUGGCGGACGGGUGAGUAAUGUCUGGGAAACUGCCCGUUGGAGGGGGAUAACUACUGGACACGGUAGCUAAUACCGCAUACCAUCGGAUGUGCCCAGAGGGGAUUAGCUAGUAGGUGGGGUAACGGCUCACCUAGGCGACGAUCCCUAGCUGGUCUGAGAGGAUGACCAGCCACACUGGAACGGAGCCACGGUCCGGACUCCUACGGGAGGCAUCAGUGGGGAAUAUUGCACAAUGGGCGCAAGCCUGAUGCGGCCAUGCCGCGUGUAUGAAGAAGGCCUUCGGGUUGUAAAGUACUUUCAGCGAGGAGGCGUUACUCGCAGAAGAAGCACCGGCUAACUCCGAGCCAGCCGCCGCGGUAAUUC